UCGAGAGCUAGCGCGACGGCGUGAAAAGCCAGACCCUCCUGGUCUGCUCUCGAAGUUUCAUUGAGG
rnacentral:ncRNA from 16 species